ACUGGGGAGAGUUGAGUGAGCAUGAAAAGAACACUUUUAAAGACUCUGUUCCUGCCUCUCUUUCAGCCUCCCCCCCGCACCCACCCCAGCACUGAAGAAGCACAGGUGACAAAGGAGACUUGUGGAUUGAGUUUAAUACCCAGGAUGUCAGCAUUCUCCUUUCGCUAGGCCACUUGCUCUCAUCUGGGAUAUUAAAACCAAGGAUGUAGCAAUCAGCAACGAAGUGUGUUGUAAAUUACAACUAAAGGUAGGUAAAAUAACAACAUACAAAUGAUUCAAGGUGACACUAUGAUAUGUUUCAAGUCUUUUAG
ensembl:lncRNA